rnacentral:rRNA from 1 species
GACGAACGCUGGCGGCGUGCUUAACACAUGCAAGUCGAACGCUGAAGCUCAGCUUGCUGGGUGGAUGAGUGGCGAACGGGUGAGUAACACGUGAGUAACCUGCCCUCUUCUUUGGGAUAACGCCCGGAAACGGGUGCUAAUACUGGAUAUUCACUGAUUCUCGCAUGGGGGUUGGUGGAAAGGUUUUUUCUGGUGGGGGAUGGGCUCGCGGCCUAUCAGCUUGUUGGUGGGGUGAUGGCCUACCAAGGCUUUGACGGGUAGCCGGCCUGAGAGGGUGACCGGUCACAUUGGGACUGAGAUACGGCCCAGACUCCUACGGGAGGCAGCAGUGGGGAAUAUUGCACAAUGGGCAAAAGCCUGAUGCAGCGACGCCGCGUGAGGGAUGGAGGCCUUCGGGUUGUAAACCUCUUUCGCUCAUGGUCAAGCCGCAGCUUUGGGUUGUGGUGAGGGUAGUGGGUAAAGAAGCGUCGGCUAACUACGUG